rnacentral:lncRNA from 1 species
ACUUUUUCUGCUGGUGUGGUAUUGAGAAGGGAAUUCCUCUUGAUGUGAAUGGAGAGCAGUUUUUGAACGUAUACUUUGGCACAAAAUAUACUGACUUUCUGCAGGGAUGUGCUGAACCAUGCAGCAGGAAAAGAGGAAUCCAAGCUGAGCAAAGCUGAGAGAAAAUAAAAUCAACUACAGAAGGUAAAAUGUCAGCCACCUUCCCCUUUGAAUUCUGCAAGACAUAACAGCUGAAGAGGUAAGAGCAGAUAACCAGAAAACAUGCAUCAGAGAAGCCUUUUUUGAGAACCAUUGGGUCUGCCAAGUGGUCUGGGCAGAAAAGCAGUAG